rnacentral:lncRNA from 1 species
CCCUAUACUCAAAAAGAGCUUUAAAAAAAUUUAGAAAAAAGGCUAUGAUGGUGACUUACGAUAAUGAUGAAGACUCAAGCUCUGAAGAAGAAGAGGAAUUAAAGGAAGAAAAAGUUAAUAUUUGCCUCAUUGCUCAUGAGGAUGAAGUAAAUAGUAAAAAUUCUAAUGAUUUUGUAUUUGAUAAAUUUUAUAAUGCUUUCUAUAAGUUACUUGAUGAUUAUAAAAGGAUCUCUCUUAA